GCCACCGCUCGCACCUGCUGCCAGCGCCCAGUGCUGGUCCCGAUAGCUCGGCGCUGUCAGCGGGUGCGAGCAGUGGCUG
rnacentral:pre_miRNA from 1 species